rnacentral:rRNA from 1 species
UGGGGAAUCUUGGACAAUGGGGGCAACCCUGAUCCAGCCAUGCCGCGUGAGUGAUGAAGGCCUUAGGGUCGUAAAGCUCUUUCGCCUGUGAAGAUAAUGACGGUAGCAGGUAAAGAAACCCCGGCUAACUCCGUGCCAGCAGCCGCGGUAAUACGGAGGGGGUUAGCGUUGUUCGGAAUUACUGGGCGUAAAGCGCACGUAGGCGGACCAGAAAGUUGGGGGUGAAAUCCCGGGGGCUCAACCCCGGAACUGCCUCCAAAACUAUUGGUCUAGAGUUCGAGAGAGGUGAGUGGAAUUCCAAGUGUAGAGGUGAAAAUUCGUAGAUAUUUGGAGGAACACCAGUGGCGAAGGCGGCUCACUGGCUCGAUACUGACGCUGAGGUGCGAAAAGUGUGGGGAGCAAAACAGGAUUAGAUACCCUGGUAGUCCACACCGUAAAACGAUGAAUGCCAGUCGUCGGGUAGCAUGCUAUUCGGUGACACACCUAACGGAUUAAGCAUUCCGCCUGGGGAGUACGGUCGCAAGAUUAAAA